GCCAGUGUGGCAUAGUGGUUUGAAUGUUGGAUUAGGACUCUGGAGACCAGGGUUCAAAUCCCAGUUCAGCCA